rnacentral:rRNA from 1 species
UACGGGGGGAGCAAGCGUUGUCCGGAAUUACUGGGCGUAAAGAGCUCGUAGGUGGUUUGUCGCGUUGUUCGUGAAAUCUCACGGCUUAACUGUGAGCGUGCGGGCGAUACGGGCAGACUGGAGUACUGCAGGGGAGACUGGAAUUCCUGGUGUAGCGGUGGAAUGCGCAGAUAUCAGGAGGAACACCGGUGGCGAAGGCGGGUCUCUGGGCAGUAACUGACGCUGGAGGAGCGAAAGCGUGGGGAGCGAACAGG